rnacentral:rRNA from 1 species
GACACGACUCUCGGCAAUGGAUAUCUCGGCUCUCGCAUCGAUGAAGAGCGCAGCGAAAUGCGAUACGUGGUGCGAAUUGCAGAAUCCCGCGAACCAUCGAGUCUUUGAACGCAAGUUGCGCCUGAGGCCAUCCGGCCGAGGGCACGUCCGCCUGGGCGUCAAGC